rnacentral:rRNA from 1 species
AUUGAGCGCUGGCGGCAUGCCUUACACAUGCAAGUCGAACGGUAACAGGUCUUCGGAUGCUGACGAGUGGCGAACGGGUGAGUAAUACAUCGGAACGUGCCCGAUCGUGGGGGAUAACGAAGCGAAAGCUUUGCUAAUACCGCAUAAGAUCUACGGAUGAAAGCAGGGGACCGCAAGGCCUUGCGCGAACGGAGCGGCCGAUGGCAGAUUAGGUAGUUGGUGGGAUAAAAGCUUACCAAGCCGACGAUCUGUAGCUGGUCUGAGAGGACGACCAGCCACACGGGGACUGAGACACGGCCCAGACUCCUACGGGAGGCAGCAGUGGGGAAUUUUGGACAAUGGGCGAAAGCCUGAUCCAGCCAUGCCGCGUGCAGGAUGAAGGCCUUCGGGUUGUAAACUGCUUUUGUACGGAACGAAAAGGCUCUUUCUAAUAAAGAGGGUCCAUGACGGUACCGUAAGAAUAAGCACCGGCUAACUACGUGCCAGCCGCCGCAGUAA